rnacentral:tRNA from 1 species
GGGCAUGUAGCGCAGUUGGUAGCGCGCUCGCUUAGCAACAAGUUGGGAGUUGAACCCUAACGUAAGCUGCGAGAGGUCUUGGGUUCAAUUCCCAACCUGUCCA